rnacentral:lncRNA from 1 species
AGAAACUUACGAAAGCUGCAAGUCCUUCUCCUUUGAAACUAUUGUUUCUUUCACCACUUAUCAUUUCUAGAAGCAUAACACCGAAGCUAUAAACGUCAGAUUUAGCUGAGAUUUGCCCGUGGUUCAGGUAUUCAGGAGCCAUAUAUCCACUGCAUAUAUGAACCUAAUAAUGUUAAUUGCUGGUGAUAGCAUAUUUACUUGUCUUCAAAGUUGAUUGAUAUAUUCUUACCGGGUUCCAGCUAUUCUUUUUGUUUCAGCUCGAGUCUCAUCAGUGUCAAACAACCUUGCGGUCCCAAAGUCUGCAACUUUAGGGUUCAUCUCUGCAUCUAAAAGGAUGUUGCUAGCCUUCAAGUCUCGGUGAAUAAUCUUCAGCUGAGAAUCUUCAUGGAGAUAAACAAGACCUCGAGCAACGCCUUCUAUAAUUUUGAAUCUCACCUCCCAUGUAAGAAGCGAACUCUUCUCUUCAUCUGCAUAAUUCAAAUACACAUUUUUACUGACAAGAUUUUCUAAGACUAUAAAAAAAAACAGGUCUUUCGAAGCCUCACCGAAGAUAAAGUGAUCAAGACUUGAGUUGGGGACAAACUCGUAGACAAGAACCUGUUCGUCUCCUUCAUUACAGAACCCAAGAAGCUUAACAAGAUUCCUAUGUUGG